GACGGGUCCGCGCCGUCGGCCGCGGCGGCGGCGCUGUGCCCGCCGCACCUCCUCACGGUGGCGCCCCCGGCAUCCUCCUGGUGGAGCAGAUUGUGCGCUCCAAGAUCUACCCGAGCAUCUACUGGAAGGAGCAGUGCUUCGGCCUCACCGCCGAGAUGCUGGUCGACUAGACCAUGAAGCUCCACAAGGCUAAGCACGAGAAGAGCCUUAGAAGAGGAGCCCUCAACUAAUCGGCUGCCCUCGCUGUCCCCGGCCAGAUCGACGGGCUUCCUCAUUCAUGAAUUCAUGUUCGGUACUGUGCGUUGCAGAAGCUUGGCGUUGACUAGGAGAUCUUUGUGGGCGUCCUUAAGAAAGGUCUGUACUAGGGGAAGCCGGAUGCUACCAUCUCCUUCACUGACAACGAUUUCCUUGUAAUCACCAGCAGCAUGACGAACCCGCAGAUUGCAUUUAUCCGAGGAGCUAUUAAGAUCAAGGGGAGCAUAAGCGCCGCGCAGAAGUUCACCCCUGACAUAUUCCCCUAGCCAGCGAAGCUGUAGGAGGUCAUAUUGUAUUAUUUGGUCACGGUUGGAUAAUAAGGUUUGCAGGCUUCAACCGCUGUGUACCUGAUAGGAUGAGUGCACACGACGACGAAGGGGCCGAAGUCGGCUGCAGUGUGUGAAGCCAUGGAGCUCUGCAGCUUGGGUCCAAGGAGGGCGAUCUUCUCUGCGUGGAUCCAUGGAGGUCGGACUCCUCUGCCUGGAUCCGCGUCAGAGGUGCCCAGCGAGCGCUGCCUGCCCCGGCCUCCACGGAACAGUAGGGAAAUGAUGUGGGCUCCAUGAUUCUGCUCGUUGAGGUAGAGAUUAGGCCCGAAGCUUAGGUACACUAUUCAUCCUGCUUCUUAAUCUGGCCAUCAUAUGUAAUUUUGACAUGAUUACAAAUGUAGCAUAUAUAUUUGUUUGCAGCAUUGAUCAACAGCUUAAUGUUUGUAUGUUAGAUUUAAGCCAAUGGCUGCUUCAGGAUGCACUAAUUUAUUGGGUAAUUUGUUCAGUUCAAGGCAUUCUAAUUAUUAAUUAGUUCUGGUACAGUUCAUAUUCUUGCCCCUCUUUUUUCCCACCAUUUCUUUUAUUUUUCAUUGAAACAUGAACUGUACGGUGGUGUGCGACUAUCAUGCAAGUUGGAAACCUUUUGCCAUGGUUGCAACAUGUCCAUAUUGCUUAAAAGAAUUUUAGAGCCUUUAUUUCAGUUCAAUAGGACUGUAUAUGCACAAUUCCAAUUUAUCAAUUAUACACAGCUUUUGAAUUAUUAAUCACAAUAAUUAUGUCCAAAAGCCAGUUAUAUUACAAUAAUAAUGCUGAUAAUUUGGUUACAUAUAUGAGCUCACAUAGGUAUCAUUUGGUUACAGCAGGGAGGAUGUGGGGAAAUUCUUUUCAUUUAUCUGACUUAGGGUAUCCUCCACCAUGAUCAUGUAAAAUUGUAGCAAAUCUCACAUCCUGAUCAGGUAAAAACGCUUAACAUGUUGUCAGGUGGAUUAGUGAUGUGUUGGGACAAAAUUGCUUAACAUGUUGUCAGGCUCAAGUAAAUUGAAACAAAAAAAAGAAAGUUAACCUCCAAUUGUCCUGGCUGUUUGGACUUCAAAGUGUAUGUGGUAAAAAUGUACUCAGUUUGCUAACUACUUUGAAUUUAUUUGUAUAUAAGUUUUGAAAGGAGAAGAAUAAAAUAGUCAGCCAUGUAUCAAUAUCUAUGUACGUAUUGUUUCCUUUAGGCUUUUACUUUACGGAUAAGUGUAGCAGGUUGCUUCCCGGUUAGUGGACAUGUUUUUCUUAACAACUGAUUGUGAGAUGUACGAGUGUCUUGAGAUUCAUUCUGUUAGCGUUCGCUGCAGAAUGUGGGAGAACAUUUUGAGACUUGGAAUGCAGGAAUUCUAGGUUCCGUGACACUGGAUGGCCUGAAUGGGGCAGAAGAGAAUUCACAUGGCAGAAAUGGACCUAUCAGGUUACUUAGGAUGUAUUAAGCUGAAUUUAUUUUGUAUUGAUGAGAAUCUUUUUUUCUUUGUAGUGAUAUUCGAGAUUGACAAGACACUCUAAAAAUUGCUGUUGGAGAUGGUCAUCAUGGGCCAAGAUAAUGCUUUGUCGACCACAUAUGGGAGGCAUGGGUGAAGCCAUGAAGUGGAAAUUGGGAGAUAGCAACUUCGACAAAAAAAUGUUAUCAUGUCUGCUUAUCCAAAUAUUUUUUAUAAUUCUUCCUUUUUUCAGAAUCUACAAUUUUUAGUAUGCACAUAUCUUCUUUUGCAGCUGCGGUAUUCCUUCUUAGAGUACCAUGGAUCAUCAUGCAAAAUGGUUAUUCAGUUUUCAGAAGAAGCAACAGUGAUCUAUCUACAUGGGGAAAUGGAUCAUUGUCCAACUAUGUCAUUUUUUCUGCUCACUAAGAAAUGUAUUUGCAUCAGAAAAAGCAACAUUCUAAUGAAACUCUAGGAAUCACUAAGAAAUCAUUAGCUAAUUUCUCUCUUAUUGGUUCUUACAUUCUUUUACCCUCCAUGUAAAUAUGACUAGCCAUUUUUCUACCGAACAACCAUGCAUGAUACACAUGUUUACUUGAUCUUGUGUACUGGUUUUAGAAAUGAAACCGUGGUUACAUAUUCUCCAUACAUCUUUUUGCAGCUUGUUAAGAAGCAAUGUGUCUAGGCAGGCAGGCCCAUGAUGAUGGAGUGCUCAACAACAGGUCUUUCAUGAGUCAUACACAUGUAUAGGCUUCUUUGCCGACCAAUGACCGGUGCUGCCUACCUGACAUUCAACUUGGCUAUCCCCAUCCCAUAUACUUCAUAUUUCCUCUUCGAUUUGGGCAGGUAGCUUGAACUUUUAUUAGCUCAUUAUCUUUGCUUUUACUUACACUUGUUUCUUUGCAGUAUAAAAAAUGAAUAUGCUAAUUUUUGCAAUGUUUUAGUUGAGUUGCAGUCCUUGACAUAUUCCCUGCCCUCUUUCUGUUUGAUGGGACAUUUUUACAUUAUUACUAGACUUUUAAGGAUUGCAAAUAAAAUAUGAUUGAAGUCUGUUGUCCUGAUCCAUAUGAUUAUUUGCAGAACAUGUGAUUAAUGAAAUGUUUGGACAAGAGCAAAUGACCAUUAA